rfam:Dictyocaulus viviparus strain HannoverDv2000 D_viviparus-1.0_Cont14730.1, whole genome shotgun sequence.
ACCGGGUGCUGUGGCGGGUGCCUGUGAGCCAGUGUCUAGGCGGUAGAUUGGGGUGGAUGUAGUGAGGGGAGGAGUCCCGCUGCGGCCGGGCGUCCGUGUCAAGCGUUGCGACCGCCAGGAUCGUGCUGUAGGAGGAUGGCACCACCUAGGGUGGUCAAGGAGUGGUGUACGGCUCAGGAUCGAAAGGGAGCUGGCAAAAACUACCACUCCAGGCAGUGGGCGGAUAGCGCCCGGGAGUACCCGCUCUGCCGUUGCCUCUCCGAUACCUCCAGACCUCCAGUCGU